rnacentral:tRNA from 1 species
GGUGGGUUGGCAGAACGGCUAUUGCGCUGGUUUCGAAAACCAGUGGGCGAAAGCCCUUGCAGGUUCGAGUCCUGCACCCACCG